GCCCCUCUAGCUCAUGCUUGGUUAGAGCAGCGGACUCAUAAUCCGUUGGUGCGGUGUUCGACUCACCGGGGGGGCACCA
rnacentral:tRNA from 1 species